rnacentral:rRNA from 1 species
AACGAACGCUGGCGGCGCGCCUAAUACAUGCAAGUCGAGCGAGAAGACGUAGCAAUACGUUUGUAAAGCGGCGAACGGGUGAGGAAUACAUGGGUAACCUACCCUCGAGUGGGGAAUAACUAGCCGAAAGGUUAGCUAAUACCGCGUACGCUCCUUGGACUUCGGUUCAGGGAGGAAAGCGAUACCGUGGGUAUCGCGCUCUUGGAUGGGCUCAUGUCCUAUCAGCUUGUUGGUGAGGAACGGCUCACCAAGGCUUCGACGGGUAGCUGGUCUGAGAGGACGAUCAGCCACACUGGCACUGCGACACGGGCCAGACUCCUACGGGAGGCAGCAGUAAGGAAUAUUGCGCAAUGGGCGAAAGCCUGACGCAGCGACGCCGCGUGGGGAUGAAGGUCUUCGGGA